rnacentral:rRNA from 1 species
AUGGCGGGCACGGUGGUGAGCAUGGCGAGGUCCAUGCUGGGCGCUGUCAUCAGCGCGGCCGCCUCCGCCGCCGCCACGGAGAUGAGCCUUCUCAUCGGCGUCCGCAAGGACAUCUGGUUCAUAAAAGAUGAGCUCAAGACGAUGCAAGCAUUCCUAGCGGCCGCCGAGAAAACCAAGAACAAAAACAUGCUACUGAAGGUGUGGGCAAAGCAAGUAAGAGAUCUCGCCUAUGGUAUCGAAGACUGCCUUGAUGAGUUUAUGGUUCAUGUGGGAAACCAGAGCCAGUCUCGACGCCUAAUUAAGCUAAAAGACCGCCAUCGGAUUGCCAGCCAAAUCCGUGAUCUCAAAGCAAGAGUUGAAGAAGUGAGCAAUAGGAACACACGCUAUAACUUGAUCACCGCUGAUGACUCCAGCAACAUUGACGUGGUGAAUUCGUACACGGAAGAUAUUCGCAGCCACUCAGCUUGCAACAUUGAUGAGGCAGACCUUGUAGGCUUUGUUCAGCACAAAGAGGAAUUGAUUAAGAUGGUAGAUGUCAACUCGACAGAUGGUCUUUGCAAGGUGAUAUGUGUUGUUGGCAUGGGCGGCUUAGGCAAGACUACUCUUGCAAGGAAGGCAUAUGAAAGUAAGGAAGACAUUGUGAAUAAAUUUUCUUGUUGUGCAUGGGUCACCGUCUCACAAUCCUUUUCCAAGAUAGAGAUGCUAAAUGACAUGAUUAGGCAACUUUUGGGUACCGACUCGCUGAGAAAAUGCUUGAAAGAUCUUCAAGGGAAGUCAGUGGAAGUAGAAGACCUCUCCAAGUAUCUCACAAAGGAGAUAGCGAAUAUGAGGUACUUCGUUGUUCUUGAUGACUUGUGGACCAUAGAUGCAUGCAAGUGGAUCAAAGAUACUGCUUUUCCUAGUAGAAACAACAAAGGCAGCCGAAUAAUAGUAACAACACGAGAUGCUGGCUUGGCUGAGCAAUGCACUUCUGAAUCGCUUAUCUACCACCUUAAGCACUUGCAAGCAGAGGAUGCCACAGAUUUGCUACUAAGAAAGAGUAGAAAACACAUGAAGACAUGA